rnacentral:tRNA from 1 species
GCCUCCUUAGCUCAGAGGAUAGAGCGUCUGCCUCCGGAGCAGAAGGUCGCAGGUUCGAAUCCUGCAGGGGGCGCCA